UGUGUGCGUUCCUCUUUCCUGAGACCUUAUGGGCUCGGUUGGCGGGACCGACGAAUUCCGAGAGCCUCAGACAAUGGUUCCGGACCCACGUCCCGUACUUUCUUACACCUCGGCCUCCUGCCUCCAAGACUCCUCAUAUCAUAGCGAAGCGGCCCUCUCCACGAUUGAAGAACUUCGGUGAAAGCAGCUACCCUCCUGGCAGGCCAACUCCUUGAAGACAGUAACAAUUUCUUCUCCAACAACGAAGCCUAUCCGGGCCCUGAGGCACCCCUGCCUUCCCAUCCCGAGUUCUGCUCUAUGGAAUGGCAACUAAUAGCUGAAUGAUUAGCUCA